UACGGGGGGGGCAAGCGUUGUUCGGAAUUACUGGGCGUAAAGGGCUCGUAGGCGGCCAACUAAGUCAGACGUGAAAUCCCUCGGCUUAACCGGGGAACUGCGUCUGAUACUGGAUGGCUUGAAAUUGGGAGAGGGAUGCGGAAUUCCAGGUGUAGCGGUGAAAUGCGUAGAUAUCUGGAGGAACACCGGUGGCGAAGGCGGCAUCCUGGACCAACACUGACGCUGAGUGAGCGAAAGCCAGGGGAGCAAACGGG
rnacentral:rRNA from 1 species